rnacentral:rRNA from 1 species
CCUACGGGCGGCUGCAGUGGGGAAUAUUGGACAAUGGGCGAAAGCCUGAUCCAGCCAUGCCGCGUGUGUGAAGAAGGCCUUCGGGUUGUAAAGCACUUUCAGUGGGGAAGAAAGCCUUGGGGCUAAUACCCUCGAGGAAGGACAUCACCCACAGAAGAAGCACCGGCUAACUCCGUGCCAGCAGCCGCGGUAAUACGGAGGGUGCGAGCGUUAAUCGGAAUUACUGGGCGUAAAGCGCGCGUAGGCGGUCUGAUAAGCCGGUUGUGAAAGCCCCGGGCUCAACCUGGGAACGGCAUCCGGAACUGACAGGCUAGAGUGCAGGAGAGGAAGGUAGAAUUCCCGGUGUAGCGGUGAAAUGCGUAGAGAUCGGGAGGAAUACCAGUGGCGAAGGCGGCCUUCUGGACUGACACUGACGCUGAGGUGCGAAAGCGUGGGUAGCAAACAGGAUUAGAUACCCUAGUAGU